UUACGGCCAUAUCACGUUUAAACAUCGGUUCCCAUAAGAUAACCGAAGUUAAGCAACAUCAAGCCUGGACGUUACCUAAAUGUGUGACCAAUUGGGAAUAUCAGGUGUUGUAAG